CUCCUGCUACAUUCCACUCCAUUGUAUGAUUGUUCUCCUACCUUGGAAGCCACCUUCAUAGAUGACAAGGUGCCAUAGGCUAUGAAUGAGGUAAAAAUCCACAACUCUAGUCCCUCUGAUGAAAUGGGAAACCACCAGACUUUGCCACCUGCCCUUCAAAGAUUGUCCCCAAAUUAGAAUCCACCAUUUUUCUUUUUCCUGUGGUCCCUAGGCACUGUUAUCUUAACUACUUAACUAAUCUAAAGACCUCUGAACCUUGCCAUCUGCCAUGCAGCACAACUUUCUUGUAUGUAUUAUCUCUCCCAAUUAGAGUGUGAACCCAUUGAGAAUAGGAAUUGUCUAGCCUUUUCUAUUUUUAUCCCCAGCUGUUGCUUGGUACACAGUAAAGCACUUAAUUAAUACUUCUUUUUCUUUCAUCCAUCCAUCCAUCCAUCCAUCCAUCUGCCCAUCCGCCCAUCCAUCCUUCCAACAAUCCCUUUAACUAGUGAAGGAAGAUAUUAUUUCCACUACGGAUAAGGGCCUUGUGAUUCCAUUGAUAUAGGAAACUUCCAGGAGGUCUUCUGGGGACAUGGAGUAAGAGGAAGAUGGGAAUGAUGAGGAUCUCGGCAGACAAGAAGAAAAGAAAGUUGUAUGAGCAGAGAAAAUACACCAUUAAGACUGACUGCCAUGAUUCAUGAAGUGGCUGUGUCCGAGGAACUAAACUUCUUUAUAUUAAGCAGAAAGAGCCCUGGAUUUGAACCUAGGGCACCCCAGACCUCAGUAAUGAGCAGAACCAACAGAUGGACAGAAGCCGCCAGCAUGAGGGGCUGCUUGCCAGGUGCACAGAAUCACUCUGGGCAGGGUGUAAGGAAAUCAGUGAGACAGAACAGCCUCCGGGGGCCUGAAGGAACAAUGGAAGGACAAUUGCAAAAGGGGAGGAAGAAGAGAGCCUUUCAUUUCCCCACUAUCUGAUUCCUCCUGGAUGAAUCCCCAAAGCUCAAGGGUCUCUGUUCUCCUCGAAUGCCAAGUUCAGCCAGAAUAUAGGAGAGUGGCUUACCACCACGCUGGGGGAAAGGGGAAGAAAGGUUGCCUCUUCAGUUGCUUCGGAUGUAUCUGUCCCUCUGGGUCAGUUGUUCAAUGCCAAUGCAUAAAACUGGGAUACCCACUGGGGUCACAUCAACUCUUCUGAGAAAGGAGAUUUUUUUAAUGUCUCCUUACCAUGCCACAGUCUUUGACUCAAAGCAUAAAAGUAGUCUAGAGGUCAUUUAAGACUAACCCUUGGGGGCAGCUAGGUGGCUCAGUGGAUUGAGAACCAGGCCUAGAGAUGGGAGAUCCUGGGUUCAAAUCUAGCCUCAGACACUUCCUAGCUGGGUGACCCUGGGCAAGUCACUUGAUCCCCAUUGCCUAGACCUUACUACUCUUCUGCCUUGGAGCCAAUACACAGUAUGGAUUCCAAGACAGAAGGUAAGAGUUUUUUUUUUUUUUUAAUGACUAACCCUUUCAUUUUAUAAAUAAGGAGACUGAGUCCCAUAGAGCUGAGGUGAUUUGCCCAAAAAAUCAUAGGUAUUAGGUGAUGGAAUUAGGAUUUGAACACAGGUCUGCUGACUCCUUUCCUCUGCACCAUGUAGCUUCCAUUGGGGGUCCUCUUCUUCCAUUGGUCUUGGACUUUCUGUUUUUAAUUUUCCAAAAGACUCACCAAUAUUCAUUGAUGUUACUGUAACCUUGGACCUUGUUAGAGGUUUUCUUGGUAAGAUCCUGGCCACAUGGAAGAUAUUUCCUUUGUAUAUAUUUUAGGCUUAUUUGGGUUCAGAGGAUCAUAGAUUUAGAGCUCAGAACUAAAGAUCUGUCCAACUUUCCUCAUUUUAAAGAUGAGGAAACUGAGACUCAGUAAUUUGUCCAAAACUCCAUAGCCAAUAAGUGGCAGUCUAGAUUUGAACCCAAGUCUUCUAGCUCCAAGGCCUCUCUUAUCUCUGUACUUGUAUUUAUUGUUUCUCUCCAGGAAAAAGCAAACUCCUUAAAGGCAGGGACUAUUUAGCUUUCAUCAGGGUCAAUCCCAAUGCUAGGAACUUCAUGACUUAAAAACCCUUACCUAUCAGUUGCAAGGCUGAAGAACAAUAAGGACUAUGCAGUUGGGGUUAAUUGACUUGCCCCCGGGUCAUAGAGAUACAAGUAUCUGAGGCCAGAUUUGAACCCAGGAGCUCCCAUCUCCAGGCCUGGCUCUCUAUACACUGGACUACCCAGCUGCCCCUCAGAAGGAGAUCCUCUUUUUUUUUUUAAACCAGAGUUAAGUGACUUGCCCAGGGUCACACAGCUAGUAAGUGGUUGGGGCAAGAUGUGAAUUCAGGCCUUCUUCACUCAAAGUCUAGUAAUCUAUCCACUGUGCCACCUUAGCUGCCUUACUAUUAUAUACCUCCCUCUCUUUAAAAAAAGAAAAAGAAAAACACUUAUUUUGUAUUAUAUAAGUAGCAAGGGCUAGGCAAUUAAGGUAAAGUGACUUGCCCAGGGCCAUACAGCAAGGAAGUAUAUGAGGCUAGAUUUGAACCCAGGUCCUCCCAAAUCUAAGCUUGGGAUUCCAUCCACUGUGCUACCUAGCUGUCCCUCUGACUGACAUCUCAUGAUCCUAUAGACUAUUAUUGUUCACUGGAAUGGGUUGCCAUUUCCUUCUCUAGUGGAUUAAGACAGAGAUGAAGAGCUUGCCCAGGGUCACAUAGUUAAGGCAGGAAUUUAAACUCAGAUCUUUCUGACUCUAGGCACAUUGCUCUAUCCACUAAGCUAUAUAACUAUACUUACUCCAGUAACACGAGUGGGGUGAGGCAUGGGCUCCCAAUACCCAGAGACUUCCAAUCAGUCAAGUGUGUUUAAAAUGAAAUUGAAACAAUUCUAAGGUUUCACAUCACAAUCUCCAAAUUGGAGAAGAGGACAAAGUAUGGUGACAAUAGUCAAUGUUGGAGGCAGAGAGGAACACUACUGCAUAGUUGGUGGAGCUAUGAACCAGUACCACCAUUUUGGAAAACCAUUUGGAAUUAUGCAAAUAAAGGGAUUAAAAUGUCCA
rnacentral:lncRNA from 1 species